GAGGCUAUAACUCAGUAGUAGAGUGUCACCUUGACGAGGUAGAAGUCAUCAGUUCGAGCCUGAUUCUCCCUA
rnacentral:tRNA from 1 species